GGCAUCAGCAGAUCUCAGAGGAUGAAGUCUGGAUAAGUGUAUAUUGAAGCUCUCAGGCUGCUGCGCUGUGUCCAAAUGAGACUAUACAUUGUCCUGCAGGAAAACAGGGAGUUGGGUGUCUGAGGCUCUACUUUUCAAUCAUAGCACAGACCAGCAUGUUUUCCAUGUUUCCUUUUUCUUAAAGGGGAAAUGCACUCACAACCUGAGUCUGCAGUCUGGGGUCCACCAAUUUUGAGGAUCAACUGAUUUUUUAAGCAUCUUAAAACAAACUGCUUACUGAAAUAUCCAUGGCUGUUAUUGUGGAUUUCAGCUG